rnacentral:rRNA from 1 species
UACGCCCGCAAGGUUAAAACUCAAAGGAAUUGACGGGACCCGCACAAGCGGUGGAUUAUGUGGAUUAAUUCGAUGCGACGCGAAAAACCUUACCUACCCUUGACAUGCCAGGAACCUCGCAGAGAUGUGAGGGUGCCCGAAAGGGAGCCUGGACACAGGUGCUGCAUGGCUGUCGUCAGCUCGUGUCGUGAGAUGUUGGGUUAAGUCCCGCAACGAGCGCAACCCUUGCCAUUAGUUGCCACAUUCAGUUGGGCACUCUAAUGGGACUGCCGGUGACAAACCGGAGGAAGGUGGGGAUGACGUCAAGUCCUCAUGGCCCUUAUGGGUAGGGCUUCACACGUAAUACAAUGGUCGGUACAGAGGGUUGCCAACCCGCGAGGGGGAGCUAAUCUCAGAAAGCCGAUCGUAGUCCGGAUUGUUCUCUGCAACUCGAGAGCAUGAAGCCGGAAUCGCUAGUAAUCGCGGAUCAGCAUGUCGCGGUGAAUACGUUCCCGGGUCUUGUACACACCGCCCGUCACACCAUGGGAGUGGGUUUCACCAGAAGUGGGUAGCCUAACCGCAAGGAGGGCGCUUACCACGGUGAGAUUCAUGACUGGGGUG